rnacentral:rRNA from 1 species
GCGAUCAUACCAGCACUAAUGCACCGGAUCCAUCAGAACUCCGAAGUUAAGCGUGCUUGGGCGAGAGUAGUACUAGGAUGGGUGACCCCCUGGGAAGUCCUCGUGUUGCACCCC